UUGAGUGUGGUCGUGUUCGUGGCAACAGCAUUUAAUCGUAGGUAAAACGUGGACUUCGUCGAAUAUCUGGUAAAUUAUGUCUAAUUAGACUUAUGAUAUUUAUGCAGACCCUUCUGAAUUAGUGCCGGUUUAUGAAGUGUAUGAUGUGAACAUUUUUCUGUGUUAAAUAACUUACGAACUGUGUUUAUUGGGAAAUACGUGAAAUUUCGACCAGUGAAAGAACAUCUACCUAGAAAUAUCGCAGAGUAAUUGCAAUUCUGUUCGGAUGUCUGUUCUGGAUCCGUGAAGAAAUAAAGACAUGCAAUUCCGAGGAUCUUGAAGAAAAUAUUGAUUGGUUUUAAGAGAAAGAUUUACUUUCGUUGGAAGCCCUCAUUAGAGAGAGGGUGCGGAUAUAACUUCAAAUCUUUCGACUACCUAAGACCAAGCAACAGAAAGCUGUGCAGGGGGAAUGAAGGCGAAUUAUGUGUCAAUCAUAAGCAUA